UGGCGAUGGUUGGAUUAUUUCCUCUUCUGGCUGUCUCUUCAUGGCAAGGACCUUUACAAAGUAUUUAGGUGGAAUAACUCCAUCUUCAUUUCCAGCACAAAGUAUUACAUUAUUGGCUGAACGGAAAAACUUGAACCCAUCUGCUAAAGCUGUCUCUAGAUUUAUAAAUAUCAUUACUUCACAGGAUUGUCUCAUGCCACUGAUGACUCCAUUUUCUCCUAGUUCUCCUGCCGCGAAGUGGAUAUGGUUUCUUCCCAUUCUACUUAAACCUGUGUGUUUGAUCUUCUCCCAAGAAUUAUAGGAGGUUCCAUGGAUAAUCAUAGAAACUUCCUUGGCAUUUAAUAAUGGUUUUAAUUCAAGAUCCUCUACGUCAAUACUAUGUCCUUGGUUUGCUCUGAUUUUCAUUUUUCCAGUUUCCUUAUCUGGCUCCAUAUAAAAUCUCUUCUUGCCGUUUGUUUCCACAAUUCGUUUUACAUCUUCAUGGUUAUAAUCCCGUAGAUUGCUUUGCCUUUUUAGAAUUUCAUCAACAUAAAGAAAACCUCCUGGCAUCAUUUUAUAUCCCUGU
rnacentral:lncRNA from 1 species